UACAGAGGUGGCAAGCGUUGUUCGGAUUUAUUGGGCGUAAAGCGUCCGUAGGCCGCUUGGAAAGUUGGAUGUGAAAUCCUGCAGCUUAACUGCAGAACUGCAUUCAAAACUCCCAGGCUAGAGGAUGAGAGGGGUAGAGGGAAUUCCCGGUGUAAGGGUGAAAUCUGCAGAGAUCGGGAAGAACACCAGUCGCGAAGGCGCUCUACUGGCUCAUAUCUGACGCUGAGGGACGAAAGCUAGGGGAGCAAACGGG
rnacentral:rRNA from 1 species